AGCGUAGACGGAUUAGCAAGUCUGAUGUGAAAGGCAGGGGCUCAACCCCUGGACUGCAUUUGAAACUGUAGAGCUUGAGUGAAGUAGAGGCAGGCGGAAUUCCCGGUGUAGCGGUGGAAUGCGUAGAUAUCGGGAGGAACACCAGUGGCGAAGGCGGCCUACUGGGCACCAACUGACGCUGAGGCUCGAAAGUGUGGGUAGCAAACA
rnacentral:rRNA from 1 species